UACGUAGGGUGCGAGCGUUGCCCGGAUUUAUUGGGCGUAAAGGGCGCGCAGGCGGUACGGCACGUCCGUUGUGAAAUCGCUCGGCUCAACUGGGCGGGGUCAGCGGAUACGGCCGCACUCGAGCAAGCUAGGGGGCAAUGGAAUUCCCGGUGUAGUGGUGGAAUGCGUAGAUAUCGGGAGGAACACCAGUGGCGAAGGCGGUUGCCUGGAGCUUUGCUGACGCUGAGGCGCGAAAGCUAGGGGAGCAAACAGGG
rnacentral:rRNA from 1 species